rnacentral:rRNA from 1 species
AUUGAACGCUGGCGGAAUGCUUUACACAUGCAAGUCGAACGGCAGCACGGACUUCGAUCUGGUGGCGAGUGGCGAACGGGUGAGUAAUGUAUCGGAACAUGCCCAGUCGUGGGGGAUAACGUAGUGAAAAUUACGCUAAUACCGCAUACGAUCUAUGGAUGAAAGCGGGGGAUCGCAAGACCUCGCGCGAUUGGAGCGGCCGAUAUCAGAUUAGGUAGUUGGUGGGGUAAAGGCCCACCAAGCCAACGAUCUGUAGCUGGUCUGAGAGGACGACCAGCCACACUGGAACUGAGACACGGUCCAGACUCCUACGGGAGGCAGCAGUGGGGAAUUUUGGACAAUGGGCGAAAGCCUGAUCCAGCCAUUCCGCGUGCAGGAUGAAGGCCCUCGGGUUGUAAACUGCUUUUGUACAGAACGAAAAGGUUUCUACUAAUACUAGGAGCUCAUGACGGUACUGUAAGAAUAAGCACCGGCUAACUACGUGCCAGCCGCCGCAGUAA